ACUCUAAUAAAGCUUUAAUAUCUGGAGCUCAUAGGUGGGAGAUAAAAUAUACAUACUUACAAGACAUUUAUUGCAUAGUCAAACCAUGGAUCCAAAGAAACAAAUCAAUAAGCCAAAUCAAGAUGUGCAUGUGUGGCGAAUGAAUGACGUAUGGUGGUGAUGGUGAUAACAAUGGUGAAAACAAUGGUGGUGGAAGUCUAAUUCUACUUUACUCUUUUGAGGGGAUACAUACCUUUCUUGCUUUUUGAAACUUUACGAGGAGAAUGAGAUGCUCUUCUUUUUCUUUUCUCUCAGGUGGGUAUCUUGCACCCCUAAUUCUACUGUCGGACACUUGUCCAUUUUUACCUCUCGUCUCCUUUUUCUUUUCUUUCGAGGUUGCGAGCACUUGCUCCUUUUUAUUUCCUCGUAUUUCUUCUUUUUUUUAGAGCACUCAUCUCAUGAGAUAAUAUAGCAAGUGGUAGUAACAAGAUAACUUGAGCAUUUAUUUCACAAGGGGAAACAGAAAUAUUUUUGGUUAUUCUCUCCCGGAUUAGGAGUAGAAUAUUUUUAGGUGGUUCUGGAGAUGGAAAUGGAUAGAUAUAUGUGGAUGGUACUUCCGGAGUAGAAGUAGCAUAUAUGAGUGAAUGUGCAAGUGAAAUCUUGAUUUAACCACAUGACAAGUUCCUAAGGGUCUACACAGCUUGACCACACUCAAUGCUCAUAAGUAGUAAAUAUUAAAUGUGUGGCUCAUAGUCUAGCAAGCAUGUAUAUAUGGCUGUGGUAGGAAUUUAAACUCUCAUCAUACAGGAACUCAUCAUGCAACAUUUUAAAGAUUUUCAAAGAUAAAAUUUUCCAGAAUUCUAGCAUCUCUAGGAACAGAUAAACAGCAGCUCAACCUUCCCAUAUCAUAUCCGUUAACAACUUAGACUUCAGAUCAUGUUUUCAUCCCACAAGUUUAGGUCUAGGACAAGCUUUAAAUUAUAACAGUUAUAUCUAAACUUGAGAGAGAACUUAAAAUGUGCAAAUUAGGCAGAGCAACUAUUCAUCAUAUCCAUGCUUAAGUUUUAUUUAGAUACAGAUUAGCAUAGCCACUUUAUUUAUUUUAUUAAACACACUAAGAAAAAGACAUAUAUAUAAGCAUAAAAUCUUUAUUUGGUUUUUUCAUAGUUAUGUAUAUUUAUAUUCUAAAAUAAUAUGAGUGUAAAGAUAGACAGAUAGAAAUACUUAUCGAGAUAAAUGGGGGUGCUCUCCCCCAAGCUGAAUUUUGACGUAAUUUCUCUUGAUGUAGCUAGCAGGUGGCAGAGGUGUAUUUGAAAGUCAGCAGCAUUCUGACAGCGAUUAGAAUGUCCUCCGUCUGCUAGUCUUCUUGACUCUUAAAUUCUGUGGAGCUCAAAUAGACAACAAAGCUUGUGGAACUGAUUAAGUGUUAGCAUAAAUAUCUAGCCUUUAUCAUGUUGAGACUCCUUAAUAAAUGUUACUCCCUAUUUUUAUAUUUUCAUUUUUAUAAAGCAAAAAAAUAUUUAUUUUAUUUUUAUGCCACCACAGUGAAUGUACUUAUGGGUUUUAUUCCACUCGUAUACUCACAUGGGGCUUACUGUUUUUCAUAUUUUUAUUUUCUUUUUAAGAUAGUACGAACAUGAUUAACUAAGCAAACUAUUUGAAAUAAUUGAAAGGGAAAGGAUAACUACCAAUUUUACCUCUUGGCAAGGCGUUCGGUAUUUUUAAGUCCUCCGAACGAGACUCUCCAUUUUCUUAAUCGUCCUGAGGUUCGUUGGGUAGUCGGUACUUCCGGCAGCGCCUCCUCUUCUUGUAUAGUUAUCUUCAUUUUCCAUACCUGACUCGGUGCUUCAAUCUCCUCUGGAUAAUUCUGUUUAAACUCAAUGUCUUCUGAUCUUACAACUUCUCCUUCGUAGUCUACCCAUCCGUCCUUGAUGAUCUGCCUCCUCUGGUUGCGGUUGCGUCUCUUUCUGACCUGCUUAGAUUCUUCAAUGAUAUAGUCAGGGUCAGUAAAAUAACGGCGUACCUUCUCUGAGGGGAAGUGCAUAUGGACUUCUCCGGUUCCAAUGUAGAUAUUUGCUUUAACGGUGCUGAGGAACGGUCUUCCAAGGAUGAUGGGUGGAUCGUACUCGUCUUCUCCCAUGUCAAUAACUUAAAAGUCUGUGUAGACAAAGUGAUCGUCUAUUUUGACUGGGACAUCAGUUACUGUUCCUUUAACUUCUCGAAAUGUCUGAUCUGCCAUCUGGAGCUGAAUGUAUGUUGGUCUUAGUGGCAUGGUCCCGAACAAGAGCCGAUAGGUGACUACGGCCAUUAUGUUGACGCCCGAUCCGUUGUCGCAAAUCGUCUUGUAGAAGCUAUAUCCAUGUAUGGAGCAGUAAAUGCUUGGCAUUCCUGGGUCAUCCUUCUUGGUUAAAAACGGUGACUUAAGUUGAUGAUCUUGACCUCCAUGAACUACAGUGACCAUCUUAGCUGACUUGGUCCACACUUGCUUAUUCUUAUUUCUCCUGUUGGUCCUCUUCCUUGAUUCACGUCUGGAUUGAUUUGGAAUUUGUGUAGUCUUGUUCUUGAAGAAAAAUGUUUCCUUCUUCCCUUUGACGUAGAAACUGAUCUUGGCAGCACUAGCGUAGAUGAUAGCUCCCGUGGUGUUCAAGAAUGGCCUUCCUAAGAUGAUAGGUGCUCUCUCAUCAUUUCCGGUCUCUACCACUACGAAGUCUGCUGGGGCAUACAAGGUACCAACUCGGACACAAAGGUUCUUCACUAUUCCUUUUGGAAAAGUUAUCGUCUGAUCUGCAAACUGCAAACACAUGGUUGUCUCUAAUAAAGGAUAUGUAAAGAAUUUUUCAUAGAGUACCCUGGGUAUAAUGUUGACACUGGAGCCAAAGUCGCAGAGUGCUUCUGGGACAUCCACCAUGCCGAUGGAGAUCGGGACGACGGGGCGUCCUGGAUCGCCUCUCUUGACCGGCAGAAGGUCAGUAGAGAAUUCAGUGACGGGGUUACUCCUAUUACCUGCAUUAAACAUGUCUAUAAGAUUUCCAGAUUCUAAUCCUUUCGGUUGUGAUGGUAUACCGGGGUUAGUAGUAGGAACAGCAGCAGCUAUUUGAUUUAACUGAGAUUCAAUCAUUUUAUUAAAGCUGAUUUGUUUCUUGAUGGCAGUAGAGAAAUUAUCCAUUCUAUUAUUUAUAUUUUCUAGCAUUUUAUCAUUUGAUGCCAAUUUCUCAGAUAGGUUAUCCAUUACCUUUCCUUGAUUAGACACUAACUCUCUCAAAGGUGGAAAAUUUGUAAGAAUUGUUACCUUGAUAAUUACCUGAGUAGUUAGGCCUCUGUUGAUUCCAACCUUGAUUUUGUUGAGGACGGUUGUAGUAGUUGUUGUUGUUGAUGUAGUUCACAUCCUCAAGUAUCUCAGGGCAGUGGUUGCCUGAGUGUCCAGUGUCUCCACACUCCUCACAAGUCAUGUGAGAGUCGUAGAUGUGCAUAACUUCUUUCUUGUCUCCAGCUCUAUCGUCAAGCUUCUUCAUGAGCAGGUCUAGCUUUGCAGACAGCAUGUCUACCUCCUUCAGCUGAUGCAUACCUCCACCUCUCUUGCGUGUCUGGGUCCUCUCUUCAUUCCAGCUUUGAUUGGACGCCAUCUUCUCCACAAGAGCUGUGGCUUGUGGUAUAGUAAUUGAUAAGAAUGCUCCUCCAGCUGCAGCAUCCAUGGUUUCUCGGGCACUGUUGCCGAGCCCAUGAUAAAAUGUCUGCAUUAGUAGCCAAUUCUCCAUUCCAUGAUGGGGACAUUCUAGGAUGUAGUCUUGAAAGCGCUCCCAUGCUUCUGGAACAUAGUCAUCAUUUUGUUGUAGAAAACUCGUAAUCUUCCCACGGAGAGCAUUGGUCUUGCCCAUGGGAAAGAACUUUGCCAGGAAGUUUGUUGAGCAGAGUGCCCACGUAGUAUUCUUCUCCUUUGUAGCGUAGAACCACUGCUUCGCUCUUCCUAACAGUGAGAAUGGGAAGAGGCGAAGUAGUAUAGCAUCUUUGGAAACUCCUGAUAUGGUGAAUGUGUUGCAAAUCUCCAGGAAGUGUUGUAAAUGAGCACUAGCAUCUUCGUGUGCCUUCCCACAGAACUGGUUGGAUUGCACCAUGUUGAUAAGUCCAGGCUUGAGCUCAAAGUUGCCAUCGAUCUCUGCAGCAGGUCCAGUGCGGGUGUUGUCCGUAGUGGGAGCUGAGAACUCGCGGAUUGAUUUGUUCGCCAUGGCUUCGAACUCUGAAGACAAGUUCCGGUGAUCUUCUUGAUUGGAUGAAGCUUCUUGCUGUAGUGAUGAUGAUUUCUUUCUGAGCUUGGCUCUCGUCUUCUUGAAUAAUGCUUUGGGAUUGUCAACAAAAUUUCCUGGAAGAUGUCUUCUAUUCAUACAUUCCCCUGCAUAAGAUAAAAUAGGAAAAUAUCAGGGUAAAACUGUAUGAGAGAAUAGAUAAGCUCAAUCAUAUUAGUGAUGCGAAUGAUAACUCAAAAUCUUUUAUUCUAUUCCUGAUUAGUAAUCAACCUUCCCCGGCAACGGCGCCAAAAAUACUUGUUGGGUAUUCUUAACAUCAUUACCAAAAGUAGACUAAGUUCUCUAAAUCUAGUAACGGUGCCAAAAAUGCCAAAUCUAUCCCUCACACCACUUAAGCCAAGUUGUCAUCCCCAGCAUGAUAUAAGAGACACGGUAUUGAAAUAUGCAAUUGCUCUUCUAAAUAAAUAAUGAAUGGGAUCUGCAAGCGCACAGAUUAAUACCGAUGUAGCAUUUUAACCGGGAAGUAUUCCAGGUAUCGUUAUUUAUAUUUUUACCACUGGGAAGGGAUUAACAAUCAUCAAUAUUGAUUACAAAAUAGAAUAUGAGAUUGAGCAUCUAUCAUUGCAUGUAUAAUUGAGAACAUUAUAUCUAACUCUUCAUACAGGGAUAAGUACCACAUAAAAGAUAUAUGAAAUAAUAAUAGUGACAAGGAUAACUAAUCUGAUCUAGCCACAUAAUAAAAAUGAUAAGCACCUCAAUUAGAUACUCUAGAAAGUCAUUAGCAUGGUAUUAGAACGAACUACAAGAGUAUUCCCUAAGUUAUUCUCAACUAUAUAGUCUAGCAUAUCAUAGUUAGUGCAAGCAUACUUAGCAAUCAUUGUGAGACAAGACUACGCCCAUGCAUAGUGAUAUUAGCAAGGAAUAUGAGAAACAUAGCAAUCACUCCCCUGUAAUAAUAUUGCUCUGCCAGCCCAAUACACGAGAGGGGGACUAUAUAAGAAUCAAUGAAACUGUCACUAUCACGAACCACCCCACGAUCUGGCAAAUUGGGUACAAUCGCAGAUAAAUACGGUAUAAGCACCACGCCUACACAAUAUCUAUCAUUUACCCAUGGAUCCGAUGGAUAAACGCUAUACGAUCCUAAGCAUGUAUAUAGAUCCAAUCUAACUAAGCCAAGUACAUAACUAUGAUAAACUAAGAACAAUAUAAUCUUGAAAUAAGCAAGUAGAGCAAAGUCAUAAGCAAUAUAUUGAAGUAGAACAAAGUCAUAUUCAUAAUAUUGAAGAACAAAGAUAAUUAGAAAGCAAUUAGAACCACAAUUAGAGAAUUACCAAGAAUCCUCCUGACAGAUCCGGAAACCAAUCGAAGAUUGACUCCUUCUAGUUCUAAUCCUAAGUAGCUAUGCUAAUCUAGAUAUCUAAUUGAUGUGGUGGCUCUAAUCUUGAUCAGAGGCUUCUUCUCCCUUGAUGGAACAAUGAAUUAGGGUUGAGAGGCUCUCUCCUCUAGGGGUCAGGGGUCUGGUUUUAUAGUCCCUUCAAGUGAAUAUGGGCCGUUGGAUCAAACCGACAUAGAUUGUAUGGUUUAGAUUCAUCCUUUAGGUCGGUGGAGAUCUCCCGCAAAGCAGAGUCCUGAUUGGACUCAGAGGCAGGGCGGGCGCCCUAACCAACUGGGCGGGCGCCCAAGGUCUGGCCCCGUUUCGCCUCCGCUUCGGUCUCGUGGCUUCUGGAGUCUUCUAGAUGUAAGAUAAUUGUGCAGCACUUUAAUAUCUUUACGUAAUCCUGACGUGUGGGCCUUUCUUCCGUAUUUCCUGAUAACUCCCUGCAGAAAUAGACAAACACCAAAACUCGUGGAAUUCUAUCAGAUAAAACCCUAAGUCUAGAUGUUGAUUUCAUUUAGAUCCUUUUCUUUAUUUAUUUGAUAAUUAAAUUUGAUACUUAAGGACCGUCAACAGUUGUCUUGAUUAUAUCUAACCAAUGCCUUACAAUUUCUUGCACAGGCACAACUUUUAUUUUCAUUCUAGCUGCGUAAAGUAACCUCAUUUCAUUUACUCGCACAACGUGGGUAUCCUGGCUAGGAAACAUUGUUAUGGAUAGCCAAAGGUGUAAAAAACUUAGAGUGGGGUGUUGGAUAUGGGCAUUUCUAGGAUAGUAUUUUCCAGUGUGAACUUGCCCCGUGAUUUCUUCCCAAAACUUAUCCUUAUUAAACCCUUUUGUGGCAUGCACUAAAUCAAGAGAGUAUCUUUGAUGAAAACCAAGGUAUUUGCUUAAGUCUUUCCAAAAGAUAGCAUAUUCAUUUCCAAAUAAACGAACAAAAAUACCUUCAUAUGUUUCUCUUAAAGUGCAUAGGAAUUGAAUGGUAAGGGUAUAGGAUCCAUACUCAGUUAUGGGGUGAAUGUUGUCCCACCCGGCUGCUUUCCAUAUGGAGAGGAAUUCAGAGUCCAUACCGAUGUCGGAGAGGAGCGAGUCGUCGUAGACCGGCGUAUGGAGGAAGAUCCGGUCCUUGAGCAUGUUGUAGGCUUGAUGUUCUUGAUCACCCACCAAGUCAAAUUGGUGCGCUCCUCCUUCUUCAUGUUGUUCCUCCUCUUGUUCCUCUUCUUCUUCCUCUACCUCUUCCUCUACCUCCUCGAUCUCUGGGGAUUCUUUCUCAGCGGAAGGACUCCAUCAGGGAUCGGUGUAGUAUGAGGAAGUGCUCCGAUAGGGGCGCUUCGAGGAUGACCUCGUGACUCUUUUAAACGCCCCCGAAACUGUUUUGCCGAACCUUUUCAUGGUGCAAUGCUUGCACCAGUGGAUAGCUAGCUUGGAUAGGUGAUUUUUUUGUGAGGUUUCUGCUGGUGGUUGGUUGGAAAUAGCAAAGAUGUGAAAGUGUUGCUUGGAGAGUGAAGAUGGAAGUGAUGAAGUGAAGUGAGAAUGGGUGGAGAGGACCACACCCGAACACCUGGUAUUUAUAGUUUGAAAAUGCAGGUGGAUUCGGGGUGAGGGCAACGGCCAGGAGCCUCCCCAAGCUAGCCGUUGGCCAGAGCCGUUGGGGGGGGGGGUCGGUCGACCCUAGGGGUGGCCGCCCCCUGGUGGGCCCCGCUGCUCCCCAGCUUUUGUCUCCAUCUUCCAACGGCUAGUUUUUGAAGUUUUCCGUUGGCAUAUUGAUGCACUUCCAGCUGAAAAAAAUGUCUUUUACAAUUUCCAACAUUUAUUUGUAAAAUUUUUAUUUUCGAAAAAUUUAGAAAAAAUAUUUUUCUAUUAUUUUAUUUUAUUUCCUAGCUGAAAAUGAAUUUUUGAAUAUUUUUCAAAAUUUUUUUUAUAUAUAUAUAUUUUUUAAUAUAACUACCGGUUACCUUCGGCGGAGGCUCAAAAAAAUGUUUAUAGUCCUUUUUGAGAAGGACUCUCUUCCGUCGUUUGAAUUUCACCCUGCAUGGUUAGUGGGAGAGUUCUCAGGUUGCCCCGGGAGUCUACCCGCAUUCUUAGUAGGAAUUGCAGCGGCGAUCUGAGCUAGUUGUGUUUCUAUCAUUUUAUUAAAGCUCAGUUGGUUUUGUACGGAAGAGGCAAGGUUUUCUAUUUUUGUAUUUAUGUUUUCUAAAACCUUAUCAUUGGACAGCAACUUUUUAGUUAAGUUUUCAUUUAUUUUAGCUUGUCCAAAAACUAGGUCUUUUAAUGAAGGUUGAUUUGAAUUAAAACUUGAAUUACCUUAGAAUGAAGAGCGUGACUGAUUAUUCCAACCAUUACCUUGGUUGGCGCCACCUUAUUGGCGGAACCCGUUGUUGAUGUAGGCAGCGUCUUCACGGGUUUCGGGGCAAUCAUUCCUCGAAUGGCCAACUUCUCCAUAGACCUCGCACGUCAUGUGUGAGUCUAUGGCCUUCACCGAGUUCGAGGGGUUCUCUUGGUUCCUCUCAGUGAGUUGCUUCAUCAAUAAAUCUAUUUUUGCGACAAGCAUAUCUGUCUCCUUCAUGGUAUGCAUGCCUUUUGUGUUUUGGCAGCUGAUGGUUGAGUUAUGUCCUCCCCCCAGCUCUGGUGUUCUACCAUCUUCUCGAUUAGGGCCUUGGCCCCAGCGGUGGUAAGUGAUAGGAACGCGCCUCCAGCGGCGGCGUCUAGGUGUCCCUUCGACAUGGGCGUGAGCCCAUUGUAGAAGUUCUGGAGCACCAUCCAGUUCUCCAUGCCGUGAUGGGGGCAGCUUAGGAUGUACUCUUGUAGCCGCUCCCAUGCUUCAGGGAUUGUUUCGCUGGCAUUUUGUUGAAAACUGGCAAUCCUUCCCCUCAAAGCAUUGGUUUUGCUUAUGGGGAAGAACUUGGUGAGGAAUGCCAUGGAGCAUUUUGCCCACGUGGUGACAGCUUCCUUAUCUUGAUAGAACCACCUCUUCGCCUUCCCCACGUGGGAGAAAGGAAAGAGGCGGAGCCGAAUGACAUCAGGAGUGAUGUCCUUGAUGACAAUCGUGUCACAUAGCUCCAGGAAGUGUUGAAGGUGUGCAUUCGCAUCCUCGCUUGGCAAGCCACAGAAUGGGCUCGCCUGCACCAUGGUGAUCAGGCCGGUGCGUAGCUCGAAGUUCUUGCCGGCCGUGUCAACAGCAGGGCCAGUGGCCACGUUGGUGACUGCGGACACGGAGAACUCGCAGAGUGUCUUCUCGGUGGCCAUGAGUUCAUUCGGGGUUGGUGCGGUACCGGCUGGUUCACUUGUCGGUGGAGUAGCAGAAGACGAAACGGUUCGAGACCGUCUAGUCCUUAGGAGUGCCUCAGAUCGGAGAUGUAGUUUUCCGGCAAAGAGAAACCAGGCAUACACUAUUCCUCUUGUUUCAUCCACAAUAGGGAGAAAAUAGGCAGAGUUAGCCUGCAUAACAAUUGACUCAUUACGCACAUCAGAUUACUUGAUUAUAUUUAUCUAGAAUCAUUUUCAUAUUAGCCUUCCCCGGCAAGGGCGCCAGAAAUGCUUGUUGGCAUUUCUUAACGUCAUCACUAAGAACAGGUUUAAUCCGUCCUCAGCAACGAUGUUAGAAAUGUCGUGAUAACACAUACUAAUGCAAUCACCAAGAUUAGAGUAUAAAUCUAUCCUAAGCAACGGUGCCAGAAAUGCUUGUUAGCGUUUCUUAGCGUCGCUACCCAGAAUAGGGUUCUGCUCUACUCAUGAUAAUGACAUUGGCAGUGUUAUAUUGGCAGAUCCGUAGCGUCACCACCUUAAAUAGGAAGCUAGAUCUACCUUCCCGAUAACGGCGCCUUAUUACCGUUAGGGUAGGGUUCCAGUACUUACUCAUGGUAGUGGCACUAGGAUUGCCAUGUUGGUAUUCCUUAACAAGUCACUAGCUCGGCGCAUGUCUAGCAACAGUGUUAAGUAUAUACCGGGGUGAUAGUUCCUUAGGUUUGGAGUUUAAGUACCGCAAGCGGACGGGAAUUAUCGUGUAGCAUUUCAACCCGGGGAUUUACCGAGUGUCGUAUUUAUAGGUUCGCUCUAAGGAAGGCUUAAUAUGUUAAGGAUUCUAAGAUAAGCAUAGAUCAAAGUAAUUAUGAUAGCAAUAAUGGAAUCAAAAGUCAUAGCAGGUGAUAAACAUUUAUAUGUAGAAUAGUGAUCCAUCACAAUCUAGGCAUGGCAUAUGGGCUAAGGAAUAAAAAAGAGACUAAAAGAAUGAAUUUAAUAAAAGAAUAAACAAACAACCUAUUGGAGCAGGUGUGUGUUGAUAUUUGGUAACGCAAUAAGGAAAUGAUCCGCAAGCGCACGGAUAUCGGUGAGCAUUUCACCCAGGAGGUUAUCCAGAGUUAUCGUAUUUAUAUUUUUGCCACUGGGAGAAAGGGUGCAUCUGACUAACCAAAUCUAUUGCUAUUAUCCCUUUAGGCUACAAAGAAUGUUUCUCGAUCUGAGUGAUGUAUAGAGAAGACUGCAACCGUAGUCUCAUUCUAACCUUGGUAAGGAUGAUCUACUGUUCUAUUGGGGAUGCUUACAGAAUCUAGACACCACAAAGGAUGUUCGACCCGCACCUAUAAACCUACCCAUCCUGCUAACGAGAUGUGGGAUGCAAAGGUAACUCAGAAAUGUCACGUUCCUCGCUACUACCACGGUCCAGCUAGUCAGGGGAUAUCUAUGAGUACCCUAGCCUAAACACCACGUUUACGCUAGCAAUGAUUACUCUAAUACUCAACCGGAAGAGGAUUAAAGUAAACUCAUAAACCAAAGAACAAUAAAACAAGAACUUACUAGAAUUAGAAGUCGAAUUACUGAAGAAUCCUAGGAGCAAGCCUCGGGUUAGAAGACUUGAUCCCGCAGGUACAACCUCGGAGUAGACACCGACAGGCCGGGCUUCCUCUGAUCUACACCUCCACUCUAUCUCUCUCAAUCUAGUAGAAACUAGAAGAUCUAAUUCUAUUCACAUUGGAUGCUAAGCCUAAAAGAAAUUUUAUUUAGAGGAGAGGUAUUCCCUCGAGGGCACCUCUCAACUCUAUGAUGAACUUGUUCUCCUCCAGGGGACAGGGGGUCUGCUUAUAUAGUCCCCUCCUUUUGUGCCUUUUUGGGUCAGCAGGUGUUGUGGUACUAAACUUUCCACCAUAUCUCAUUAAAAUGCACAUAGGCCUUAAUGGACCAAAAUCUGUUUUGAGCCCAAUUAAUCCCGCAGCUCUUUUAUGUGGAGUCCUUCUUUUAUUAAUAUCUAUUGAUUCUGAACUCCAAAUAUAGCAAAUAAUAUAUGCAUUUCGAUCAGCUCGAUGAGAUCUUUGUAAUGGAGUACUCCAUUCUAUGAUUGGUGCUUGUACCAGGACGGGCGCCCAAGGGGGAGGGCGGGCACCCUGCCCCCGGGCCCGUUCGGCCUCCCGUUCAUUCUCGUGGCUUCCGGAGCCUUCUAGAUGAUAGAAAAUUGCGCGGCACAUUAAUAUCUCUAUGUAAACCCGACGUGUGGGCCUUUCCUUCAUAUUUCCUAAUAACCCCAUGCAGAAAUAGACAAACACCAAAACUCGUAGAAUUCUGUCAGAUAAAACCCUAAGUCUAGGUGUUGGUUGAAUUUGGAUCCUUUUCAUUAUUUAUUUGAUGAUUAUAUUUGGUACUUAAGGACCAUCAACAAACUCCCCCAAGCUUACCUCUUGCUCGUCCCUGAGCAAGGAUGGACUCAAGAGUUUCUGCAGUGGUUUCAUGCCUUAAAAGUACACAUGCGUUCAAGUAAGAUCUCAUCUCUGAGUUAGAGUAAACUAUUAAGACUUAAAACUUACUCAUUUUUCCUUUCACCAUGGGGCUUGCAACUGUCACUUGUGUCUUGAGCAGUUAAAGGAUAGAACGGUCAAGUCAAGCGCCAUGUCUCUUAUUCUUGAUCAGCUAUAGCUCUGGAGUUUUUGCAGAUUUUCAAAUAAAACUUAGAGAUUCCUCGUAUGACUCUCUCAAAUCUCUCUUUUGUGGUAUUUCUAGAUCCUUACCAAGGCAGUAAUGGUAUAUGCCUUCUCUCAAAGUAUGUGGUAUUUUUGGUAUGAGGCAUAGUGAUAUUGCCUUCUCUCUCACCCUACUCUAAUAAGGUUUUGAUAUCUAGAGCUCAUAGGUGGGAGACAGAUAAUACAUACUUACAAGACAUUUAUUGCAUAGUCAAACCAUGGAUCCAGAAGAACAAGUCAAUAAGUCAAAUCAAGAUGUGCAUGUGUGGCGAGUGAAUGGUGUAUGGUGAUGAUGGUGAUAACAAUGGUGAAAAUCUAAUUCUACUUUUGCUCUUUUAAGGGGAUACAUACCUUUCUUGCACUUUGAAGCUUUUUGAGGGGAAUGAGAUGCUCUAUAUUUUCUUUUUCUUUUCUCUCGGGUGGGUAUCUUGUACCCCUAAUUCUACUGUCGGACACUUGUCUAUUUUUACCUCUCGUCUCACUUUUUCUUUUCUUCGAGGUUCCAGGCACUUGCCCCUUUUUAUUUCCUCGUGUUCUUUCUCUCUUUCUCUCUUUUUUUUAGAGCACUCAUCUCCUGAAAUAAUAUAGCAAGUGGUACUAACCAAGAUAACUCGAGCAUUUAUUUCAUAGGGAAAAACAGGGAUAGGAAAAUAUUUUUUUGGCUAUUCUCUCCCGGAUAGGAGUAGAAUACUUUUGGGUGAAUCUGGAGAUGGAAUUGAGUGGAUGUAUGUGGAUGCAUACUUCCUGAGUAGAAGUAGCAUAUAUGAGUGAAUGUGCAUGUGAAUCUUGAUUUUAACCACAUGACAAGCUCCUAAGGGUCAACACAGCUUGACCACACUCAAUGCUCAUAAGUAGUAAAAAGUAAAUGUGUGGCUCAAAGUCUAGCAAGCAUGUAUAUAUGGCUGUGGUAGGAAUUUAAACUCUCAUCAUACAGGAACUCAUCAUGUGUUAUUUUAAAGAUUUUUAAAGAUAAAAUUCUCCAGAAUUAUAGCAUCUCUAGGAACAGAUAAACAGCAGCUCAACCUUCCCAUAUCAUAUCCGUUAACGACUUAGACUUUAGAUCAAGUACUCCUCCCACAAGUUCAGGUUU
rnacentral:lncRNA from 1 species